GCCUGGGUGGCUCAGUUGGUUGGGCGUCUGACUUCAGCUCAGGUCAUGAUCUCACGGUUCAUGGGAUUGAGUCCCGCAUCAGGCU
rnacentral:tRNA from 1 species